GGGCUCACACAAGCGGUGGAGCAUGUGGCUCAAUUCGAAGCAACGCGAAGAACCUUAUCCUGGGUUUGACAUGCAUGGAUUAGUUCGCUGAAAGGCGAAUGACACUCUCGUAGUGGAACAUGCACAGGUGCUGCAUGGCUGUCGUCAGCUCGUGCUGUGAAGUGUCGGGUUAAGUCCCUUAACGAGCGAAACCCCUGUCACUAGUUGCGAACAGGUAAUGCUGCGGACUCUAGUGAGACUGCCGGUGUUAAACCGGACGAAGGUGGGGAUGACGUCAAGUCCUCAUGGCCUUUAUGCCCAGGGCUGCACACGUGCUACAAUGGUGCGCACAGAACGAUGCAAGACCGCAAGGUGGAGCAAAUCGCUCAAAUCGCACCCCAGUUCGGAUUGGAGGCUGCAACCCGCCUCCAUGAAGUCGGAAUCGCUAGUAAUCGCGGAUCAGCUACGCCGCGGUGAAUAUGUUCCUGAGCCUU
rnacentral:rRNA from 1 species